GUGUAACUGUGCCUAGAGGGCGGGGUUCCUGUACAUUCCUACUUCACCAGAUAACCUGCCCCCAACACCACUCCAGCUUCUGCCAGACAGAUGGAACUCUCCAACAUGAUAAUCUGCGCAGCCACUCCAACAAGCAGGACUGCCCGAAGUUGUCUGAGGAUGCGGAAGAAAAGAUUUGCGGCCUGGGAGCGCUCCUAACCCCCAGAUCGAAGUUUUUCACUGGUCAGUACAAUGAAGGUUGAUGGCAUGAUCAUCCAACUUGCCUCAAAGGAUUCAUCGGUGUGCUGUUAUCAAGCAGAAGUUUCCAAACAUGAGCUCUCUAACUCAGAGGAAGUUGUUGGAUCCAGGCAGAAUGGCGCCUGGGAAGUCCCUAAGUGUGCAUGAUUUGUCUUCUGAGAAAGUUGCUUCAGCAUUUUUUGUUUGUUUUUGGAAUACUUCUCUCUACAGUAUCCU